rnacentral:misc_RNA from 1 species
AAGUCGUAACAAGGUUUCCGUAGGUGAACCUGCGGAAGGAUCAUUAACACUAAUGAAAUCCAAAACCUUUUGGAUCAACCCAACCUUAGCGAACCGUUCGUAUUUCCCUUUGCCAUUCUCAAUUUAUCAAACGCAAAACAAUCUGAAGUAAGUAAAGUGUCUGAUUCUUAUUCCCGUGCCUUCUGGCCUGGAAUCAAAAUCUAACGCAAUACAACUCUUAACAACGGAUAUCUUGGCUCUC